AGUCAAAGUAGGCAAAUCCGCUUUGAUAAUGCUGGGAUGUGAUGGGGAGCGAAAUUUAGUAGCGAAGUAGCUGAUUUCACACUGUCAAGAAAAGUCUCUAUCGAGGUUAAAGGUACCCGUACCGCAAACCGACACAGGUGGGUGAGGAGAGUAUCCUAAGGCCAGCGAGAGAACUGUUGUUAAGGAACUCGGCAAAAUGACCCCGUAACUUAGGGAUAAGGGGUGCCACCAUCAGGUGGCCGCAGAGAAUAGGCCCAAGCGACUGUUUACCAAAAACAUAGGUUUCUGCUAAGUCGCAAGACGAUGUAUAGGAGCUGACGCCUGCCCGGUGCUGGAAGGUUAAGGGGAUCUGUUAGAGCAAUCGAAGCAGUGAACUUAAGCCCCAGUAAACGGCGGCCGUAACUAUAACGGUCCUAAGGUAGCGAAAUUCCUUGUCGGGUAAGUUCCGACCCGCACGAAAGGCGUAACGAUUUGGGCACUGUCUCAACAACAGACUCGGUGAAAUUGUAAUUCCGGUGAAGAUGCCGGAUACCUGCGACAGGACGGAAAGACCCCAUGGAGCUUUACUGUAGCUUGACAUUGGGUCUUGGUACUACAUGUACAGGAUAGGUGGGAGGCUUUGAAACCAGGACGCCAGUUUUGGCGGAGCCAUCCUUGGGAUACCACCCUUGUAGUACUGGGACUCUAACCAUAGGCCAUGAAUCUGGUCUUGGGACACUGUCAGGUGGGCAGUUUGACUGGGGCGGUCGCCUCCCAAAAGGUAACGGAGGCGCUCAAAGGUUCUCUCAGUACGGUCGGAAAUCGUACGUAGAGUGUAAAGGCAAAAGAGAGCUUGAUUGCAAGACAUACAGGUCGAGCAAGGAUGAAAAUCGGACUUAGUGAUCCGGUGGUUCUGCGUGGAAGGGCCAUCGCUCAACGGAUAAAAGCUACCCUGGGGAUAACAGGCUUAUCUCCCCCAAGAGUCCACAUCGACGGGGAGGUUUGGCACCUCGAUGUCGGCUCAUCACAUCCUGGGGCUGUAGUAGGUCCCAAGGGUUGGGCUGUUCGCCCAUUAAAGUGGUACGCGAGCUGGGUUCAGAACGUCGUGAGACAGUUCGGUCCCUAUCCGUCGCAGGCGUAGGAAAUUUGAGAAGACCUGUCCUUAGUACGAGAGGACCGGGAUGGACG
rnacentral:rRNA from 1 species